rnacentral:rRNA from 1 species
UACGUAGGGUGCGAGCGUUGUCCGGAAUUAUUGGGCGUAAAGAGCUCGUAGGCGGUUUGUCGCGUCGGCUGUGAAAGCCCGGAGCUCAACUCCGGGUCUGCAGUCGAUACGGGCAGACUUGAGUGUUGCAGGGGAGACUGGAAUUCCUGGUGUAGCGGUGAAAUGCGCAGAUAUCAGGAGGAACACCGGUGGCGAAGGCGGGUCUCUGGGCAACAACUGACGCUGGAGGAGCGAAAGCGUGGGGAGCGAACAGG